rnacentral:lncRNA from 1 species
GCGCGCCUGCCUCACCAAGACUCCGCCUGACACCCCGAGUCGCCGAACCCCGGCAGCGGCCACUUUUAUAGCUAAGGGGUGACCACGCCGUGCCUGCUCGUCUGUUUCGGUCAACAGUGUCUACUCUUCGGAUUGGAACCCUGCUAGGGGAUCCCUCCUCCCAUUUCAAACAGAAACUAGCCAUUAAGUAAACACCCGUUCCUGUUGGCUUAUUUUGGUCCACAGUUAGGAGGGAUCCAACAGGAGUUUCUUGAUGAAAUUGCGCUUUCAAAGACCAGAUGCUGUUUGGCUGACUUGAAGAAACGCAUGCCCCCUCCUCUGGUUCUAGUUUUCGCGUGGUUACGUCCUGUUGUUUUGAAGCAAACGAACUGUCACAUGCCACACAAUGAGACUUCCCCCAUCACUUUAAAAAAAGGAAAGAAAAGCCCUAAACGUAAAUAAGCCUAGCAGAGACAGCGCCCGGGUCUGCCUCCAGUCUGGGCUCUGUGCUGUUUUUGUUCGGUAACCUCGGUGGAGAUCCCGGCAGAAGAAACUCUGUGGAAAUAAGAUUAAACCCGAGGAGUACUAAGACGGCCAAGGGAUAACUAACUCGACUUCGGAGCGUCUGUUUCAGGAACUAGAGCUAGCCUGCCACCCUCCCUCAAAAAAAAAAAAAAAAAAAAAGACACCCCCGCCCCUAGAAUGCGUGGAGGCCAGAGUUUAAAAAGCCUGGGUGGUUUUUCCAAUUACAGGACUAAAAUGAAUCAACAGGGAAAAAAAGCGUCUCUCUAAGAAGGCAGCAACCUUACGAUUUUUUUCUUCUGUGGUUUGCUGACUGCUCGGGACAGAAGAGAACACACACCUAAAACGGCUCGGGGGGAGCGCGGUCCUGGGGACAAGCCACCCGCCCGGACGCUGCCCUGCAACUGCCGGGAGCACAGUUCCUUCCCGGACCUGGCUGCAGAUGAAUCAGCUGCUGCGCCCGGCACACAUAGUUCCUUUUGGCGUCUUAUCUUCUGAAGCUGCCUCAAGGCCAAGCAAAGAAAGUUGUUAAAAAGUUAAGUUACUUUUCACAGCCUGCAAACCCUUCAAAGGCAAGAACUCAAAUAGAAACUUGGAAAGGCAGAUAAGCCAGAAAAGUGUACUAAUAAACGCACUUAAUAUGAUUAUUUUUUGAUGCCAGGUCCACCAAGUGAAGAUUGGAGGAUGUAUUUGUUUCUUCUACUCAACAACAAUUGAUAAAGCAUGAGUUCCAUCAAGGACUGUGUUCUAGGUGGAGAAAGGGUGACUCACCCAGUCAUUGGAUCUCUUUCACUUCCAGUCUCUGGAAGGCAGAUAUCUUUAUAAAAUAUGCAGACAGCUAGGCUCUAAACACUGGACAAGAGGUCUGUAAUCAUCCAGUCACAUCUCAGGUCAGAGGGUCUUGGACUGCUUAAGAAAGAGCUGACCAUUGUCUUAAGAACCUGGGGUGGCCUAGAGCCAUCUUGAGGUGAUUUUAUCAGCCCCAUCAGGAUAAUUCUCCUCAGCUUCCUUGCAUGAAUAGUGUAACUGGUGCUACUACUUUUGUUUUUAGUCACUUUUCCUAGCCUGCACUUCCCUUCCCGGCCCUCCUUUUUCCUCUGUAGCCAAGUCAUCACUUCUCUUUACCUAAAUGAGUUUUGGAAUCCAGGGGAUAAAACGAAAAGAUAGGCGUGAGCCACUACGCCCGGCCUUCUUCUCAUUUUUUAACUACAAAAAAAGUUCUGAAAAUUCAAGCAAGAGAGAAUAUACUAAGUGAGACAUGGCCGACCUGGUAACUGCCCCCUUCCAUUCUUCAUUUAGGCAUUUGUAUAUUAUGCACAAAGGCAAUGGGUUUUCCAUUGUUACUUGUUCCCAAGUCCCCUCUGCCCGGGAUGUUCCUUCACCACUUGUUGAUCCUCUGGCAGUUUCUCACCAGUCAAGGCUAGGCCUAAAUGUUACUUCUUAGAGGAGUCUUCGCUGAUCACCUGACCUAAAUUAGGUAGCCCCGCUGCCAUCGUGUGGCUCAGGAGUUCUCAACCACAGCCCUAUUGACGUUUGGGGCUGGAUCAUUCUUUCUUGUGGGGCUGUCCUGUGCAUUGUAGGAUAUUUAGUGACAUCCCUGGACACUAACCAGUGUGUGCCAGUGGCAUCCUUCCCCCAAGCUGUGACAAACACAGAUGUCUCCAUAUGUUGGCAGAUGUUCCAUGGGGAUAGAAAUCCCCAUGGGGAGGAGGAUCACCCCUGGUUCAGAACCACAAAUCUAGCUCAAUCCUUUAUUUCUUCCAUAACAUCACAGUUUUCAAUUAUUUUGCUUACUUGACUGUUGGCUUGGUUUUUUCCCUCUGACCUCCCACUCAAAUGUAUGUUCAUUAUUAAAUCUUUUUUUAAAUUUGUUUUGUUUUUUUAUUUUUAAAAAAUUUUCAUUAUUAAAUAUUUAUGCACUUAAGUGAACCGAGAUCGCACCACUGUACUCAAGCCUGGGUGACAGAGUGAGACUCCGUCUCAAAAACAACAACAACAAAAAACAAAAACAAACAAAACCUUUAUGUACUUAAUACAGUGCCUAACACAUCAUAGGUACCCAAUAUUUAUCAAAUGAAUAAUGCAUGAAAGUGAGACUAUAUGGGAGCUAAAUGAUAAGAACUUACGAACACAAAGAAGGAAACAUCAGACACUGGGGUUUACUUGAGUGAGGAGGGUGGGAGGAGGGAGAGGAGCAGAAAUUUUGGGUACUGGGCUUAUCUGGAUGAUGAAAUAAUAUGUACAACAAACCCUGUGACAUGUUUUCUUAUUUAAGAAACCUUCACAUGUACCACCAAAUGUAAAUUAAAGUUAAAAAAUUUUAAAAAGACAAAAAAAAAAAAAAAGAAAAGAAAGUGAGACUAUAAGAAUAAUUUAAAAUAAGAAUACAGGCCGGGUGCAAUGGUUCAUGCCUGUAAUCCCAGCAUUUUGGGAGGCUGAGGCAGGUGGAUCAUGAGGUCAGGACCUCGAGACCAGCCUGGCCCAUAUGGUGAAACCCGUCUGUACUAAAAAUACAAAAAUUAGCUGGGCAUGGUGGCACAGUGGUGGCACGCGCCUGUAGUCCCAGCUGCUCGGUAGGCUGAGGCAGGAGAAUCGUUUGAACCCGGGAGGUGGAGGUUGCAGUGAGCCGAGAUCGUGCCACUGCAGUCCAGCCUGGGUGAAAGAGCUAGACUCCGUCUCAAAAAAAAAAAAAAAAGAAAGAAUACAAUCAUUUAUUGUAUACAGCAUGCCAGGCAGUAUGCAAAUACUUUCCUUCUUUUAUUUUAUUUACUACUUAAAACAACCCUAAGAAGUACUCAUGGCCAGGUACAGUGGCUCAUGUCUGUAAUCCCAGCACUUUGGGAGGCCAAGGCGGGCAGAUCAUCUGAGGUCAGGAGUUCGAGACCAGCCUGGCCAACAUGGUGAAACCCCAUGGUGAAUUCAAGUGAAUUUCAAGUGAAUUCGUGAGGCACGAGAAUUCACUUGAACCUGGGAGGUGGAGUGAGCCGAGAUUGCGCCAUUGCACUCCAGCCUGGGUAACAGAACGAAAUUACAUCUCAAAAAAAAAGUUCUCAUUAUUAUUAUUUUCAUAUUAUAUUGGCUGGGCUUCGUGGUAUACACCUGUAGUGCACAGAGUUAGAGCCUGCAGAGCCUGGAAGUUCAAGGCUGCAGUGAGCUAUAUUGCACCACUGUUGUCCAGUCUGGGAGACAAGAGCGAAACCCUAUCUGGAAAAAAAAAAAAAGUAUUAUUAUCCCCACCUUACAGAUGAAGAAGUUGUAGUCUGUGGGAGUUAAUUAAUUUAUCCUGCCAGUAUAACCCAUGAGCCAAUAAUCUAAACAAUACUAAUAUUCUGCAAUUUGCUUUUUCAUUUAUUUUCUUAGUAAUGAGCAUUUAAUUGUUUCCAAUGUGUAACUCAGCACAAAAAGAUAGUGCAAUUACAUUUGAAAUAUUUAACAACUGAUAGAAUACGCGCAUCAGCCAAUUAGAAGAGCCCCUUCUGAUUGUGUACUGGGGCAUACUGAUAAUGAACCGGCUGGGCCCAACAGAAUGUUAGUUUGUAUGCAGAUCUUUUGGGGCUUCUGUGAGCAUAUCUGUAGGAGUUUCUGGGAGGUGGAAUAGCUGCAUCAAAACGUGUUUCAUUCAGAAUUUUGAUAGAUAUUGCCAAAUUGCCUCCAAAUGAUCUUACCUAUUUAAAAUCUCACCAAAGUUAUGUGAGAUCUCUUUCUUUGUGCCCUCACUAACGCUGAAUAUUAUCAAUCAAUUUCCUAUUUGUCUAUCUCCCAGGUAAGUAAAUGGAACCAAAUGUUUUUAUUGUUCACAUUUCUUUGAGAGGGUGAGCCCAUUUUUGUGUAUGUAUUAGUCAUUUUUAUUUC